UACAGAGGGGGCCAGCGUUAUUCGGAAUUACUGGGCGUAAAGGGCUCGUAGGCGGCCAACUAAGUCAGACGUGAAAUCCCUCGGCUUAACCGGGGAACUGCGUCUGAUACUGGAUGGCUUGAGUUUGGGAGAGGGAUGCGGAAUUCCAGGUGUAGCGGUGAAAUGCGUAGAUAUCUGGAGGAACACCGGUGGCGAAGGCGGCAUCCUGGACCAACACUGACGCUGAGGAGCGAAAGCCAGGGGAGCAAACGGG
rnacentral:rRNA from 1 species